UCCAAAGUAUAUAACAAGGGGAGAACAGUUAGUGCUGAUUUUCAUUUGCAUACAUUUUCAUAUAUUUUGGUGAAAAUAAUAGACUAGUGGAGAGCUGGGCUUAGAGGAGUCGCUGGAAAGGCAAGACUAAGGAAGCACCGCUUCUGGGGAGUUGAGAAUAUGCCUCCCCCCACCCCAGUCACCUUAUUAUUAUUUUUUUAAAUGAAACAUCUUAAUUUAUUUUAAAAUCUAACCUUGGAAGUUUGCUCGGUGAGGAAACUGACAACUCAAAGAAGAUACUAACUUUGCCACCCACCGCCACUCCUCCUAGCUGGCAGGUGGCGGAGCUGGGCUGCUCUCGAGAGGCCAGGGCCAUAUCAGUUUCAAAGAUCGCUGUCAGGGUGCGAGCAACUGAAGUUGAAAUGGCCGGAAAGCGGAAACUUUUCUUCAGAGUUGUACAGUUGGUGGAAUAUUCAUAGAAGUGUAAUGUGACACAGGAUGCCGAGUCGGUGUCGAAACUUUGUUCCAAACCAUAUUUGCUAUUUGUAAAACUGGUCCCUCAGGGACCAGCUACGGAUAAGGUAAGGGGUGGGGGUGGGGGCUGGCUGCCGAGUGACUGAGACAGGGCUGCAGGAGGGGCUUCUGGCCACAGGAAUUAGGGUUCUCGGGAGCCGGGAGAGAUCUGGGGUCCAGCCUUUCCCACCCUGGGAGGACCACCUCUGCCUCAGGUAGGGACACCUUUCCUUCAUGUUGCCACGUAAGUUUUGUGCCUGAGUUUGAAACGUGAGCGUUGGAGGAAUUGAUACAGUAUCAUUGUGCAGUUUUGCUCGUGGGGAAGUGACACCAUUCGCUUUUUCCUUGAAAGUCUCCUGGUCAGGAUGUUGAUAAAAAAAAUCUGGCGCCAUGGACCCUGACCAGUGUCAUCUCCCGAUGCUGAAAGUAUAUUUUAAAACGAACCAAAGGUAUCAUCUACUGAUGACCCAAAUUUCCUUUCAAGAAUUAACAAAUCUCUCUCGUUUUUUUUUUUCCCCCCCUAGGAACUCUAUGCAUCUGUAGUUAAUCUAAGAAUUAACAUUUAGCAAAUUACUGCCUCAGUGCCUUAAAUGAAGUAUGUGUCUGGUGGCUCUGUUGAUUAGAGCCCCGUGCUAAUGAGGUCACGAGUUCAGUCCCCAGGAGGGCUGGUUCACUUCUCCGUGGUCCCCCUCCGGACCCUGGCCACACCUCCAGAGGAACACUGGUCACAAGUGGCCUUCUGGGGAAGAAUCAACACAAAUUCUUCACGAUUUGUGGGAAAAGACAACUCAAAGCAGAUGCCUUGAGUUAACCUGGAAUAUGGCAGUGAUCCCAUGGGGUGACUAAAUGGUACCCUAGGAGGCUGCAAAGACGUCCUACAGACUGUGCCAGUGCUAUGCUUCCUGGGGUGGCUUCCGUGCUGGGAAAGCUGGCUUUGAUGUGUGUGUGGGACUCUGUCCUGCAAGGAAAGGGGAGUGUUUUCUAGAAACAGUGAGAGGUGGGAUGCCUCUUCAAGAGGCAGCGUCGGGGGGAUGCUUUAGGGGAAUUUGGUUGCCUUUUCAUUGAUCACUUAUUCAAAAGAGGGAUCAUUUGGGGACUGCCAAUUAGUGUCUGUCCUCAUGCACCCCCUGGGACCACUUUUCCUGUGGUCAGGCCACGCCAUCGACUUGUCUCAAGCUGGCAGUAGACCCAGGAGUGAAGAGCUUUCAAGGCAUGGGGGAUUCUCACACUCAUGCAUUCUCUCCAUUUUUCACUCCCAGAAACCACUUUUUCAGGUCCAGGUUCAGUUCUGAAGCUAAAUCUCGGCCAGGCAUGACUGGAUGCACUGGUAUCCUCUGAGGUCGUUUCUUGGUUUUAGGGAAGGCUAAUGCCUAGCGACCUCCAGCUCUGCCUGGUGACAUUCCUGGUUGGGACCAGCACCCUCGCUGGCUUCCUCCUAUUUACCAAAAAUACAUUCUCCACCUCUCUUUUAAAACAAUUUUUUAAAAUAAUUUUAAUCACUAGCAGGAUGCUUUGUAUAUAGCAGGGGUUCAGUAAAUAUUCGUCAGAUGAAUGAGUGAGCGGAUGAAAGCAUCAAAUGUGGAAUUGAUUCCAUUUAGAAAACGGCGGUGUUUUUAAUUUUAUCAUUUUCUUGCUUUUCUCUUUACAAAAUUCUAUGUGUUUAUUAAAAAUAAUUCCGAAACUAGAGAUGAGCAGAACUUAAGAAAAUAAGAAUCAUCACCCGUAAUGCCAUCACUUGGAGAUAGCCUUUCUUGAUAUUUUGGGGUGUGUUAUAGUGAUAUCUAUAUGCAUAUCUAUUAUAUGUAUGGGACCCAGACAAUGUGUAUUAUUGUGUAAUUUUUUAAAACUUAUAUCCAGAAUCUUUGCAUGAUAUUAAAUAUUCUUCUGUGUUAUUAUUUUAAUUUUUUCAGACCAUUUUAUUCUAUGACUUGACUUCAACUUAGCCGCCUGUUAAGACAUCCCUGGAGCUUAAACUUUCUACGUAGCUUUAUUUCCUUGGGAUAAAUUCCUACAAGAGGAAUUGCAUGGUUCCAUGGUUUUCUAAUUCACUAUAUGUUGGCAAGUUAUCGGUUAGAGCAGUGCCACCAAUACGUACUCCUACCUGCGAUCGGUUAGUGUCCGGCCACACUCCUCCUUGGUUGAACGGUGUGUUGUCAUUCUUAUAUUUGCUAAUCCUUAGGCAAAAAGUAUAUCCAAGUUCUUCUACUUUGCAUUUCUUUCUUUAAAAUUUAUGUUUUUUUUACUCUAUUGCACUCUUAUAUUUUAAAAAUUAAUUAACAAUUAAAAAAAUUUUUUUGGCUGCAUCGGGUCUUCAUUGCUACACGUCGGCUUUCUCUAGUUGCGGCAAGCGGGGGCUACUCUUUGUUGCGGUGCACGGGCUUCUCAUUGUGGUGGCUUCUCUUGCUGUGGAGCACAGGCUUUAGGUGCGUGGGCUUCAGUAGUUGCAGCACACGGGCCCUAGAGCAUGUGGGCUUCAGUAGUUGUGGUGCACUGGCUCGGUAGUUGUGGCUCGUGGGCUCUAGAGUGCAGGCUCAGUAGUUGUGGUGCACAGGCUUAGUUGCUCCGCGGCAUGUGGGAUCUUUCAGGACCAGGGAUCAAACCUGUGUCCCCUGCAUUGGAAGGCAGAUUCUUAACCACUGUGCCACCAGGGAAGUCCCUAAUUUUUCCAGUAGGUCAUUGUUGGUUAUGUAUUUUAAAUAGAGCAGUGUGUACAUGUCAAUCCCAACUCCCAUAGUGAAACUGAAUACUUUUUCAUGUGGCCAUUUUAACAUCUUCUUUGCAAAUUGCCUGUUAAUGUUUUUGAAAACCCACAUAUUUGGGGGGCCAAUAUACGUACCCCUCUCUACUUCAUGGACUAUUGUAAGAAUUAGUUGAAAUAACCUAUUUGAAUAUGUUUGAAACCGACACAGCAAUACACAAAUGUGUUGACCACGUUUAUGACCUGUAGGGUGAGGGUCAGAAGGAAUGGCCAUCUGGAGACAAACAGGCUGAGUCAGUGGUACCCAUGGAAGGCUUGGGCAGCUCUGCCUGCUGACGUAUGGGGAGAGGCACCUGUGAGAAAGGGUAAGGGGCCUUGACCCUUUGUUACUGAGAGAAGGCCACCGGAAAUAGACAAGGUCAGUGGCAAUACAGGGGCUGGCAGCUCAAAAUGUUGUUUCAGUUGUUACAACUAGUAUAGGGUACUUUUCUAAUUUGAAAAUGAUCCGAUAAAGAAAAAAACAAUUAAGACACUCCACCCUGCAGCAGGGUCGGCAAUUCAUGAGGCGACAGGAGCUGAGUUCUGGGCUGUCAUGGGUGCCCGUGCUGACUUGGACAGAGCAGCUCCAGGGAGCCCUUGAGAGUCAUACCUGGACCCUGCAGGACGCCGAGCUCACGGCCAUCUUGCACUCAGAUGACGGGGAAGCCGUGCCUCCUUGGCGAGCAGGACCCUGUGAACAGGCCAAGCUUACAGGGAUGAGAAUAAAACGUCUGAUGCUGAGAAACGUGCCUGAAAUGAGAGGAAAGGUUGAUGAGGCAGGUCUCCACAGCCUGGAUCGUGUGGAGUGCUUUCAGAAACCGUCACCCAUUGUGCAGAAUAACUGCAUUGGAAGAGUAGAAGCCCCAUGUCUCCUCGGCCAGCGGGUGUUUAUCAUAGGACAGUGGAAAAGAGGGACAAAAAUGCCUGGAUAUGAUAUUAAGCGUUGGCAGGACCCGGCCUCUAAAAGGAAGUGUUAAAACAAUGUUUUUGACAUCAAGGCUUUUCUCAAAGUUGAUUGAGUCACAACCCUGCUGACUGAAUUUGGAGGUGGGUGUAUCUGACCCUGCAAGUCAUCCUUGAAGCUGUGCUACUUCUCUGAUAUUCCCUGGACCCAGGACGCUCUUGUUUUCAGAACCGCAAUUUGUUUCAGCACAGAAGGCAUAUGCAUUGCAGGACCUAACCCUGAUACAGAUAACACUUUUCCUCUCCAAGAAAUGUAAAGGAGAGCUUGUGGAAAAGCUCAUGUGCUGUCUCUUCAGUGGAGAGUUCAAUCCAGGAACAGGAUGUGAUUAAGGAUCUUGAGACGGAGAGUUACCUUGGAUUAUCUGGACAAAGCACUCCCCGUUUCUUCGACUCUGGAGCUGUGGAGGAGUAUUUUUUGGGGGACUGGAGGCCACACCCAUCCCUCCUGUGGGCGUGUCAUCUCCCUCUGUCUCAUGGGGAAACUCACACCGUGCACUGGAGCUUCAGUUUUAUGCAGAAUUGAGGCCCGUCGGUGACGCCGAAAGCGGGAAGCCCUGAUUUGGUUUCUGUUCCCGGUCCAAUCCAAGUCCCAGCAUCAUCGGCGAGAGGAAGAGCCAUUGCCAUAGACUAAAAGGCCAGCGUGCACGGGCAUCCCCCCACCACCUCUCACAGAUGGAGCGGCCCCGCAAGGCAGACAUCACAGCCUUCAGUUUACAGAUGCGCGGUACCCUGCAGGACAGCGGGACGAUGAUAGGGAGAUAAUCUGGAUCUCUUCAUCACCGUGUGAAAUGGAGCAUCCUGCCAGCCUGGACCGUCCACUCCAGAGAGUUAUGUGAAAGAGAAAGCAAUUCGAUCUUAAGCUGUUGAGUUCACAAGGAGUGUCUGUGUGUGGAGCGGGGAAGACAAGUCACCUGAUUACUGUAUAAGGUCACCUCUCCUGCUUUAUGGAGAAAGGUAAGGCUUCCCACAGCUGCCCCAGGCUAUCUUGGUCCUGACAGUGGUGAUUACGAAAAUUUAUUUUAAAAAAUCAUUGAAGAAUUUCUCUAAUCACACAGUAUUUGAAUUCAUUAAAAAAAUAAGUCCAGGGAGGGAGGGAGACACAAGAGGGAAGAGAUAUGGGAACAUAUGUAUAACUGAUCCACUUUGUUAUAAAGCAGAAAAUAACACACCAUUGUAAAGCAAUAAUACCCCAAUAAAGAUGUAAAAAAAUAAAAUAAAAUUAAAAAAAAAAGAAGAACUAUUUCCUCCAGUUUAAAAAAAAAAAAAAGUCCAAGCCAGUAGUUUGAAGAAUUAAGUUGCCAGAAGGUUUCUUGAACCAUAUGCCGUCUAAGUUGCAAGCAGGCUGGGAAAGGCUGGUGAGGGUUCGGUGAUGCCACACCCUCUAGUCCACAUUCGUGGUUUGCGGUUGUGGACGAGACUGGGGAAAGGGGUUGGAGUAGUUGCAGUGGGGCUUUCAAAAGCUUCGAAGGGGCCUGGACUUUGGAAUUUCUACCUCUGGUGCAGAGGCAGCAAAGGAGGAAAUGGAAAUGGUAAUUUGUAAAACCUACCCAGCCCUUUGAGCUGCCUACCUAUUAUUCUCAAGCAAGUGAAGCCCGUGUUUAAGGACCAUCUUUUCCCACGAAUAUCAGUUUUUUAAGUGUGAUUUCACCUUCUGGAGAGCAGUAUCCUGACUCCUUCUGCAAUAACUUUGAACAAGUGAGUUACUUCAGGAAGGAAACAGCAUAGGUCCCAGACUUUCUGAUGUCCGUGCAGUUAUUAUUGGGAUUUUCUUUCGAAGGUUUUCUUUUCUCCCCCGAUUCAUGGAGAUAAAAAGGACAUCACAUUGUAUAAGUUUAGGUUUACAAUGUGUAGAUUUGAUACACAUAUAUUACAAAUUUCUAACGUUUUUUAACACUGUCCUCAGAAAGAGGAAAUUGUUUGAUUUCUCUCUUUAUUUUAUUUUAUUUAUUUAUUUUUGAUUUCUUUUUUUUCUUUAGAGGAGUGAUAUCAGGAUCUGAAACAGUCCAAGUGAAGUAUAUUGCGAGACUCCUUUUGUUGGGUUCGUGUUUGCAUAUCUGAACAAUCUAAUGAGAAAGGAAGUCCAGGUUUUAGCUUCUGCACAUCAGGAAAUGGUUACGUGCCCCAGCCUGGCCUUGCAGACGGGCUGAGGGGGGAACCCUCCUUUCUCCCCUCCCCCUUUCCAUCUCUCCCCCUGAAGUCAUCUCCGAGGACUUGGGGUACGCUUGACCACCCUGGAGAAUGGCCAGCGGUCACCACAGCUGCUCCCGGGCAUCGGCCUUGGAGCCAGGCUCUCCUGGGGACAGGAGAGGGAAGAGGGAAGCAGGGGUCAAACACGGCUGGAUUUCCUGGGGCAAGGUUUCCCUGUGUGAGCUCUGGGAGAGGCCUGGAGAGCCAUGUCACAUGUGCCGGCUCAGAGCCCAAGCUGGGCUGAGCUGAGUCCCAGGCUGGGAAUUCUCAGUUUACAAGUCUUCCUUUCUGUCCUGUGGAAACAGAUAGGGAAGGUUAAUGAGAUGAACAUGGCCAAAUACUGCUGGCUUCUGAGAAGGAAAAGAGCCUGUUACGCGCUCCUGCAAACACAAGCCCUCUAGAUGGGGACAGCUUCUUACUGAGCUCUCCUCCAGGAAGACUUGAUUGUUUUCAUCAGACAGUUCAAAAGUAGCAUGUAUGCAGGGCUAGUCACUCAGCCGUACAUGCCUGCUGAGUCAGGAAUCAAGAAAACAUCCUAUUUUGCUUCUGACCUUUGCAGCAGCUUUGCCCAACACCUGCCACCUUUCCAAAUACACAGGGAUUAAUAUCUGGAAAGGAUAGGUCUUUUUAUUCAAAAAAGAAGUUGGGUCUGUGAUGAACUGUGAUAAAAUGAAGAACUAGUUAAGCACCAAAGCCACAGUAUAUGGAACGGAAAGAUGAGAUACCUCUUUGGUUGGAGAUUUUCUGAAGAAAAUAUUCCAGAGAAAAGGGCAGAUGGAAAUGUAUGUGUGUGUGUGUGUGUGUUUAAUGAGUAGUUAAAAAAAAAUGAACUCUAAGUGGGAAGAAGAGAAGAAAGAAGAAAUUUGGGCGCAUCUAUAAAAUCGCCACAAUUUAUGAGAGUUUAAAAAGGCAAUUCCUUUUUAAGGAGCCAAUUCCUAAUUUCCCACAUAAAAGUAUGGGAAUUGAAUGGUAAAUCCUUCUCGGCCGACAAGACCCCUGAAAAGGGUUGGGAGAAAGAGUUACUGUUCCGUUUCCAUUCAUGUGUCUUGAAAGCCCGUGGCUGCGAAACUGCCCGGGACCGCAGAGGCCUGGGUUUCAAAGCUGCCCGAUGACUUUUCAGAGCUGAUCUAUUGUGGGGCUUUGUUUCGUCUGGGUCGCCCUCGUUUUGUUCUGCUCGGGCUGUAUCACUCUUCUGCCGCUGCUAUUAAUCCACCCUGUCUACUCCUCUCCAUUCAGAGGCACAUUUUAACCCUGCCCCGCACAGGGCGCAGCAUGAAAGGCUGAAAGGCUGAGCGUCACCGCGGGGAGACUGAGAGGGAGGGGAGGGGAGGGGAGUGUGGGGUCCUGGGUGCACAGGCUCACCUGGGUGGCUGGCUGUCCAGGAAGCAAAGAGCAAGGGAGCAAGUGGUGUGAACCAGCUCUGUCCCUCUGCUGGGAGUCGGGCAAGCCGGAACGAACCCUUUUUCUCACACGGUCACCGCCUGGCUAAGCUGCCUGCUCAGGCACCGCGAACUCAGGCUCCUGGAGCCGUACAUGAGCUGGCCCUUGUUUUCCAGUUUUGAGUCGACUUCCUUGCUUGUGCCUAAUAGGCUCCUUAUAGCUCAAGUGUUGUCAGACUGGGAUAAAGUGGCAAAAGAUACAGUGAUUUGUGUAAAAAAAGAAAAUUAAAUCAGAAAACUGUUGUUUGGUUAGGAA